UUGGAGGGCAAGUCUGGUGCCAGCAGCCGCGGUAAUUCCAGCUCCAAUAGCGUAUAUUAAAGUUGUUGCAGUUAAAAAGCUCGUAGUUGAAUUUCGGGGUCAGUAGAUUGGUCGUGCCACUGGUAUGUACUGGUCUCACUGGCUCCUCCUUCCUGAUGAACCGUAAUGCCAUUAAUUUGGUGUUGCGGGGAGACUGGACUGUUACUUUGAAAAAAUUAGAGUGUUUAAAGCAGGCUAACGCUUGAAUACAUUAGCAUGGAAUAAUGAAAUAGGACGUUCGAUCUUAUUUUGUUGGUUUCUAAGAUUGACGUAAUGAUUAAUAGGGAUAGUUGGGGGCAUUAGUAUUCAAUUGUCAGAGGUGAAAUUCUUGGAUUUAUUGAAGACUAACUACUGCGAAAGCAUUUGCCAAGGAUGUUUUCAUUAAUCAAGAACGAAAGUUAGGGGAUCGAAGACGAUCAGAUACCGUCGUAGUCUUAACCAUAAACUAUGCCGACUAGGGAUCGGAUGAUGUUAAUCUUUUAAUGACUCAUUCGGCGCCUUACGGGAAA
rnacentral:rRNA from 1 species